UUUAAAAAAAAAAAAAAAAAACAGGAAGCAGACAUUGAUUGGUGAAGUUGACUUGUGUUUCUUCUUUUCAUUCUUUUUCCUUUCCUUUGUAGCUGGUAUUCUGAAUUAAAGGGAGUGAACAUUUUUGAGUUUUUUGUUUGGGGAAAUAUUGCAGAGAGCUUCCCUCUUGUAGAAUAGAUGAAGCAUGAAGUUAUUUUUCAUAAUUCCCACAUACUGCUAUGAAUUUUAUGCAGCUUUUUGUCAUUUAAUUUAUAUAUAUGGAGUGUCACUUUCUUUUAUCCCUAAACUUAUUUAAGUGCAAGAACCUUCGAAUAUAAUAAUAUUGAUGAUUUAUUUAACAAUUUUUUAUUUUAUAAAAAUGAAAAAAA
rnacentral:misc_RNA from 1 species